rnacentral:SRP_RNA from 1 species
CGUGCUAGGUGGGGAGGUAGCGGUGCCCUGUAACCUGCAAUCCGCUAUAGCAGGAUUUAACGCCAUAGAGAGGCUUGUUCCGCGUUGGGUUUACCAAGCACGUGGUGUUGACGUUUCAACCCAUUGCAAUGGAGUCGCACCCAACCCCGUCAGGCCUGGAAAGGAGCAGCGGUAGGUGUUUUUUUUCAUGUGCCGAUGGAUCACUGAAAUUGAGCCAACGACUUUUGUAUACCUGG